rnacentral:ncRNA from 2 species
GGGUGUCAAGGCCGUGGUGGCCUGACAGGUUCAGCGCCGGUCGGGCCGCCGCG